GCUUCAAGAGUUCUAGCCCCUAGAACUUGACUAACCUUGUAUCGAUCAGGUUUCUCCAAGAACCUGACUCGACCCUUUAAGAUCCUUCUCUGAACUUCUAAUUUUCUUUCUUUAAGACCCUCACAAUCCUUGUUUGGACCAGAUAAGGAUUUGCCUUCAAUCCUAAAGCCUUGUGCUAAAACUAAGAUAGGUUGUAAGAAAGAAAGGAGAGCUACGGAGAGGAAAAUGGAAACUUUUUUGAAUGCAUCGGACACUCUGCACCCAGACCCUUUUAUAGCCAUCAAAGGGGCACUAAAAAGGAAGGUGCACACCUCAUCCAAGAGGCUUAUCUAAUCAAAUUAUCAGAGAUAAGAGUUCCUUCAAGCAGAAGGACUCUUAUCACCGAUAUGUUGAUCUGCACCUACACCUGCGCGCGCGACCAGAGAAGGGAUGUUCUUGUAUCCCUUCUCAAAUUAAAAAAUUUCACAAAAAUCUAUGUACAUAGAGGACUAAUUUUGUAUUUCAAAAAACCUAAUAAUAUGAUAAAAUUCUCAUGGAAGGAUGCUAUUCUCUCACCUCUUCCCGUGAGUUCUGAUCACCGCGCAUGCACACA
rnacentral:lncRNA from 1 species